UCCGAGCAUAGGUGCGGAAGCGGAACACUAGUAGUCUACGCUACGCCAAGGAGAAUGGCGCCGCCGCCGGAACCCCGGCGCCCGUACAAGCGCCCGGCCAUCUCCGACCAGCAGCGCCGCCGCGAGCUCGCGCUACAGGCGCAGUCCGCCCGGCGCGCCGACGCCCAGGCGCGCGCUCGCGCCCUCGCCAGUUCCCUCCUCACCACCCCCACCCCUCCUGCGGCCACCGACCGCCACGGAGAGGAGGAGGAGUAUCAGGAGGAGGAGCACGGGCACACCGUCGCCGACGUCGCCGCGGCCGCCUCCAAGCUCCGCAGCUCCGACGCGCGCCGGUGGUUCGCCCGCCAGAUCAUGCUACCGGAGUGGAUGGUCGACGCCCCGCCCCACCUCGCCAGCGACUGGCAUGUUUUUGCCAGGCCUUCUGGUAAACGAUGCUUGGUUGUGUCUUCCAAUGGCAUGACGAUUAGCAGGGCGCGUAACGGAUCCAUCCUUCACCGGUUCCCUUCCGCUCUACCGAAUGGAUCAAAGAGAGACAUAUCUGGCCCAGCAAGCUCCUACUCCAUACUCGAUUGCAUUUUUCAUGAGCCUGAUCAAACAUACUAUAUCAUUGAUAUGAUUUGUUGGCGAGGCUAUUCACUGUAUGAUUGCACUGCCGAGUUCAGGUUUUUCUGGGUAAACUCUAAGCUCACAGAAACUUCAGCUGGUGAUCCUCCAUCAACAUACCAUCGAUAUAGAUUCAGUGCUGUCCCAAUAUUUGAGUGCACUCUUGAGGGUCUUCAAGCAGCUUACUCUGGGAGCACACCUUAUGUCAAAGAUGGCUUGCUGUUUUACAACAAGCAUGCACAUUAUCAAGCUGGAAUCACACCUCUUACACUAGUAUGGAAAGAUGAAACCUGUAGCCAAUAUGUUAUUGAUACUGACAGCAAAGGAGAAAUUCCAAAUGAGCAGCAACUUGUGUUGGAAUUGCAAAAGGAUGGAAAGCUAGUUACAUCUGAUGACCCUCCAGUUGUGUUUGGUAGCUUGGACAAGGAAUUCAUACAGAAGUCAAAUCUGCUAGGAGGGAAUCUUCUCCGCUUUGCUGUAAGAGAUGAAAGUGUGACACUUGUGGAUGGAAAGAUGCAGAUCGGCGAGCUGCAGUUUGUUGGAAAGCCAAACCGUGCUCGUGCUUUUGCUGACAGCCAUUCGAAAGCUUUGUUCCAGUAUGCUGCAAGGCAUGCUCCUCUGAGAAUUGAUGAUCUGGUUGCUUCCAUUCAAUCGAACAAUAUGGAGCUUGAAUCCACCGAUGUUGAAAUGCAAGAUUAAGGUGCCUUUGUUAUCAAUUGGUAUUUAGUUUAACGGUUGAAUGCCAAUACAAAGAUAGAAUGAAGGAGCCUGCAAAUGAGAUCAAGGUUGUAGACCCAUCAUUCAUGUCAAGAUUUCAGCAAAUGUCGUGAUUGUCUGGAACCCGUGGUUUUCAGGGAGUGGCGUGUUUCCAGGUCUGAUAGAUAUUAGUACCUCAAGACCUGCCAAAAAAAAAGAAGGUGACCAGUGUAGCAUGAGUUUCUGGAGCAUGAGCAUUCGAAAUAUUGACAUGUAUAUUCAUGCAAUGUGUAAUAUAAUUCAAACUUGUGAGGUAUCGAUCGUCCCACGUUUGCAAUCUACGAAUGACAUUUCCAAUAGCUGAAAAACGCUCAAAGGAAAUGUGUUGCAUUGCA